rnacentral:RNase_P_RNA from 1 species
GGAGUCAGCCAAGACAAUCGCUGCUUACUGUGUUUUCGGACAUAGCGAGGGGAGGAAAGUCCGGGCUCCAUAGGGCAGAGUGCCAGGUAACGCCUGGGCGGCGCGAGCCGACGACUAGUGCAACAGAGAGCAAACCGCCGAUGGCCUAUUCUUCGGAAUAGGAUCAGGUAAGGGUGAAAGGGUGCGGUAAGAGCGCACCGCGCAACUGGUAACAGUUUGUGGCACGGUAAACUCCACUCGGAGCAAGACCAAAUAGGGAUCCAUGGGGUGGCCCGCCUCGGGUCCGGGUAGGUUGCUGGAGGCUACAGGUGACUGUAGUCCUAGACGAAUGAUUGUCCUCGACAGAACCCGGCUUAACGGCUGACUCCACCU